rnacentral:tRNA from 1 species
GGAGAGUACAGCUCAGUGGUAGAGUGUCUGCUUAGCAUGCACAAGGUCCUGGGUUCAAUCCCCACUACCUCCA